CGCCCUUAGAGUUUGAUCAUGGCUCAGGACGAACGCUGGCGGCGUGCCUAAUACAUGCAAGUCGAACGCAGCUUGCUUUGGUAAGAUGAGUGGCGAACGGGUGAGUAACACGUGGGUAACCUGCCUAUCAGAGGGGGAUAACACUUGGAAACAGGUGCUAAUACCGCAUAGAUUUCUUUCGCAUGAAAAGAGAGGAAAGACGUACGUGUCACUGAUAGAUGGACCCGCGGUGCAUUAGCUAGUUGGUGAGGUAACGGCUCACCAAGGCCAUGAUGCAUAGCCGACCUGAGAGGGUGAUCGGCCACACUGGGACUGAGACACGGCCCAGACUCCUACGGGAGGCAGCAGUAGGGAAUCUUCGGCAAUGGACGAAAGUCUGACCGAGCAACGCCGCGUGAGUGAAGAAGGUUUUCGGAUCGUAAAACUCUGUUGUUAGAGAAGAAUAGGUAGGAGUGACUUCCUGCCAUGACGGUAUCUAACCAGAAAGCCACGGCUAACUACGUGCCAGCAGCCG
rnacentral:rRNA from 1 species